GACGAACGCUGGCGGCGUGCUUAACACAUGCAAGUCGAACGGAAAGGCCCUGCUUUUGUGGGGUGCUCGAGUGGCGAACGGGUGAGUAACACGUGAGUAACCUGCCCUUGACUUUGGGAUAACUUCAGGAAACUGGGGCUAAUCCCGGAUAGGAGCUCCUGCUGCAUGGUGGGGGUUGGAAAGUUUCGGCGGUUGGGGAUGGACUCGCGGCUUAUCAGCUUGUUGGUGGGGUAGUGGCUUACCAAGGCUUUGACGGGUAGCCGGCCUGAGAGGGUGACCGGCGUCAUUGGGACUGCGAUACGGCGCAGACUCCUACGGGAGGCAGCAGUGGGGAAUAUUGCACAAUGGGCGGAAGCCUGAUGCAGCAACGCCGCGUGCGGGAUGACGGCCUUCGGGUUGUAAACCGCUUUCGCCUGUGACGAAGCGUGAGUGACGGUAAUGGGUAAAGAAGCACCGGCUAACUACGUG
rnacentral:rRNA from 1 species